AUGGAGAUGACAAAAAUCUUGGUAACAGUGGGCCCCAGUAUGGACGAAGGCUCUGACGAGGCGACCAGGCCACGUGGAGGAGAGUCAAGGAAAACUCUUGGGACAACAAAGUCUUUGCUACCAUCUCAGGACCUCAGCAGAAGGGAUCAGUGCCUGACUCAGAACUAAGAAAGAAAGAUACUUGCUGAAUGACUGAAGGACCAGCUUUUUUGUUGUUGUUGUUGUCAACGUUGACCAGGUUGACCUCGAAUGUGUAGCCUCGUCUCCCUGUGCGCCGGGACAUCCAGCCUGAGCCACCAUGGCUACCAAGAGCCACCUUCUUAAGCAAAAUCUUAUAGUGGCUUCCUGGUACCUACAGAAAAAAGAAAAAAACUUCAAAUUCUAGCACCUGGCUUAUGAACUACUUGAAGAGAAAGGUGGGCAGGUGGGCUGCCCUUCAGGUUUUCUGUUACCCAACCUUGUCUCCCAACAGCUCUCCCAGGAGACCUUUGUCUCAUGGUUUCCUGAAGAUGCAGGGAUGAACCAUCAGGCACUGUGCAUCUGCUCUGGGCCAGGUACUAUGUGAGAAGAAGUGUCAUUGGCCACCCUCGGUGGGCUUCCUUCUGACCCAAGCCUUGGCUUAUUCAUUCACCUCCCCAGUCUCUUCCCUCCCUGCCACUGAUCCACAUUCUACCUAUUUUUCCAUAUGGGCAUUUCUACCAAUAUUUUAAUUCACCUUUUUCCACUUCAGAUUCUUAACAUUUCUAGAACAGAGGUCUUGUAAUUUUCCUUUUCACUAAUAGACUUGGAGGUUAAUUAUAGUCACCCUAUUAUGCUAUGGAACACUAGGUCUUACUCCAUGUAUCAAACUAUUUUUGUACCCAUUAAUCAUCUCCUCCUUAUCCGCCCCUCCCCACCACCCUUCCCAGCCUCGUAACCAUCAUGCUACUCUAGCUCCAUGAAUUCAAGUUUUGUGUUUUUUUUAAGCUCUCACAUAUAAGUGAGACCAUGUGAUAUUUGUCUUUCUGUGCAUGGCUUAUUUGACUUCACAUAAAGUCCUCCAGUUCUAUCCAUGUUGUUGCAAAUGACAGGAUUUCAUUAUUUUUAUGGCUGAAUAAUAGUCCAUUGUGUAUAUGCACCACAUUUCCUUUAUCCAAUCAAAAGGAAAGAGUGGAACUGGAAUGUUUCUUUUUUUCUUUUUCUUUUUUUUUUUUUUUUUUGUUUGAGAUGGAGUCUCACCCUGUCGCCCAGGCUGGAGUGCAGUGGCAAUCUUGGCUCACUGCAACCUCUGCCUUCUAGGUUCCAGCAAUUCUCCUGCCUCAUCCGUCCAAGUAGCUGGGAUUACAGGCACGUACCACGGUGCCCAGCUAAUUUUUGUAUUUUUAGUAGAGAUGGAGUUUCACCAUAUUAGCCAGACUGGUCUCGAACUCCUGACCUCAAGUGAUCCACCCGCCUCAGCCUCCCAAGGUGCUGGGAUUAUAGGCGUGAGCCACCAUGCCCAGCUGGAACUGGAAUGUUUCUAACACAAAGAAAUAAUAAAUGCUUAAAGUGAUGCA
ensembl:lncRNA